rnacentral:tRNA from 1 species
GCCAGGGUAGCUCAGUGGUAGAGCACCGCUCUGGUAAUGCGGGGGUCGCGGGUUCGAAUCCCGUCCCUGGCUCAA